GACGAACGCUGGCGGCGUGCUUAACACAUGCAAGUCGAGCGGUAAGGCCCCUUCGGGGGUACACGAGCGGCGAACGGGUGAGUAACAAGUGAGCAAUCUGCCCAUCACAUCGGGAUAACUCCGGGAAACCGAAGCUAAUACCGAAUACGACCACCUCCGGCAUCGGAUGGUGGUGGAAAGUUCCGGCGGUGAUGGAUGAGCUCGCGGCCUAUCAGCUUGUUGGUGGGGUAACGGCCCACCAAGGCUUCGACGGGUAGCCGGCCUGAGAGGGUGACCGGCCACACUGGGACUGAGACACGGCCCAGACUCCUACGGGAGGCAGCAGUGGGGAAUAUUGGACAAUGGGCGAAAGCCUGAUCCAGCAACGCCGCGUGAGGGAUGACGGCCUUCGGGUUGUAAACCUCUUUCAGCAGGGACGAAGCGCAAGUGACGGUACCUGCAGAAGAAGCACCGGCCAACUACGUG
rnacentral:rRNA from 1 species